CCCAGAUGACCCUGGCUCCUGUCAAGUCGACAGAAACCUAACCAGCCCAAAGGGGCAGGGAGCUAAGAGGAAACGCGGUGAAGGCCAGAGCAUGGAGGAGCAUGAGCAUCAACUCCGUCUCUUCCUCCACUGUGCCUGGGACCCUUUUUUCUUGGGCUGCAGCAUGUGGCCCUAGACCCUUCCUCACACUAAAGGUGCACAUGAAGAGCCGUUCACCUAAGGUUAGCCGAGGAGACUUCUCUGAAACAAUCGUGCUGGCGUUUGGCUGGGCUGAGUGAGCGGCUCUGCCCUUGGACAUGGAAGGAUCCUUCUUUCUGCUGUUACUCUACAGGGCAGCGAUGUGGGGGCGGGGUACAUGGCCUGUAAGGUUUCUCCCCAAAGCUUUUCCUCCACCUCCACCUUCACCAUUUUGCUCCGGAGUGUUGGCCACGCAGCAGCUGGCACACCCCCAGCUCCGAGAAGGAACUGGCUGGCUGUAAUUGCAGAAGACUGAUGAAUUUUGGAUCUGUGCCCUGUCCCCUCUUUGUAACAGCAAUGGAAAGAUGGUUCCCUUUCUUCGUAAGUCCCCAGGGGUUCUGAACUAUAAAGUAACCUCUCAGGAUUGUUAUGAAGGUUCCCUCCCAAUGCAGGGAGGCUCUAACACAACACAUACCACUUGGAUAUUUGGUAACUUGCGAGAACAUCAGUGAUGAGGGCUCUUUCUUCUCCCCUGUAACAAUGUAAGGGUGGGUUUGGAGGGCCAGAGCGGUCCUUGAUGGGAUGAGUAGGCAGAGUGUGGUGGGAAGAACACAGGCUUUCUUUACCUAUUCCCGACAGGAUGGCUUCAUGGAAAACUCUUUCUGAAGAAGUGGGGGAACACAAGCACUCAAGUUCCCCAUUUGGAUUUGAGGUCGAGUGGUGGAGUCUGGGGAACAGAACUUCAACCCUCCAGCAUGUAGGGGAGGGAAGGGAAGUAGGUAGGUGAGCAUGCUCUAAAGCAGUUGGCUGGAUUGCUUGUCCUGUCAGGCGACCUGUGACAAGGGUUUCGUGGUUUAUUCAGUUUGGGAAGCAAAUGAUUUCUUCUUUGAAAGUCAUACUUUGUAUUUGCAUAAUAAAAACCUCCUAGCCGUCCUGCAAUUUAAAAGGGAUUCGUUUCAAUGCCUGGUUUCAUAGGCCAAAACUUACGGAGCGCUUACUGUGUGUUGGUGGCCAUGCCCUGUGCUUUGUAUGAACACUUUGCUCCCCGAAUUACCUCUAAGUUUCAGGGAUUCAUAAUGCUCCAUUUUAUAGAUGUGGAAGCCAGGACUCGGUGGAGGCUGAGUGACUUGCUCAGAGAGAGGAAU